AUCUGGGUCCGAACAAAUGGAAAGAAGAGUUAAAACACGGUCCAGAUUUUUUGCCAUGUUACCGUGAAAAGGAUUCACAAGGUUCAUCAGAGUUAGCUACCAAGCUUGCUCACUAUCAGAAGAUGUUAAGUAUUUCUGAAAAGAAAAAGAAAAAAAAUGUAUCUUGUCUGCUGAUGAAAAAGUAAAUGCCAGAAAAGUUCAGCUAAUUAACAUAUGCUCUCAUAAAGUGGCUAGGUAUCAUUACGCUCAUAUUUCAUGUGGCAUCGUGUGAACAUUGAUCAAGAGCCAAAAUGGAUGUGACUUAAGUUCCCGUUGCUAGGGAAAAGCAUCUGUUCCGCAUCAUUCGUUCUUGGAGGUUACUGGAUGAAAUCGAUUGCUUUGGUCGCUAGCAGACUGACACAGUACACAAACGCGCUAACUGCUAGUAAAACUUGAAAAAUGUAACAAAAUGGAAAAUUUCACCUUGAAAGUAAAAUAAACCUUCUCCAUUUCUGGUUUGUGUUGCUCUUUGCUCAGUAUCACUACAGUAUGGCCAAGAGUUGGAUAGUGUUCAUAGACAAGUCUGUGAUUUGCAUUCAGGCUAUGAUUGCAGCAGUAUGCUAGCAACCAGCCUUUAUCAAAAGCAAGCUAGCCAAGCUACAAUUAAAAGUUAGUAUUAGCCGAGCUAAAGUCUCCCAUUUUUUGAUGCCUGUGCACGCUACCGUAUCAUUGUCAUGAGCAAAGUGAAGCGAGGGAGCCAUAAUUCAGUUCAGCAACAUGUGACAUCAUCCAAUGCAAGUGAAUGAGAAGCAAGAGCGUUGAAGCCUGAAAUUAAUCGGUGUCAAUGCUGCCUAACAUCUGUGUGUGCAAAUGGUGUAAAUGCCACCAUAUAAUUCAGCUACCUUCCAUCUAAAACAUGUUUUAAAUAUUAAACAUGUAUAUGUGAUUAAUGGCUUUAAAUGUAUCUUACAUUUAGUAUUUGUAUUAACAAUGAUUAACCUCGUUUUGUCUCCUGUUUUAUCAGCUAAUAAACUAAGAACAUUCCUGGUUGCUCCCAGGCUUGGAAACAAUAUUAACAGACAAUAAAGACAAAAACUGAUUGCGGGUUUAUAGUAUGGUGAACCUGUGUACGGCUGUGAAGGUGAAGUCUUGCAGCAAAUGUGCUAUAUGCUGCUCGAAAAUGAACUUUCGCAAGAGAGCGUUUCAGUUGUUUGUUCAUCUGCCAGGUUUACGUCUCUCACGGACCAUUUGUUCUUUGACUGGAUUUUUCUUUCCCCCCCGACUCUCGUCAGCAAAAUAAAGAAACACAAAAAUAUGUAAUGAAAUAAGCAUUGCCUGUAGCUUGGAUACUAAACUCUCAUGAGGGCGAAUGCUUAUGAAUGCUGACUGAGAACUAAAUGUGCCAGUUCACUCAGCAAAUCUACACUCAUAUACAGCUUGCAGCUUUGUUUUGUGCUAAAUUCAAACAGUGAAGUCCGAUGGCUGGACUUCAAACACCCCCACAAGACUGGCCUCGGUGGGAUUUAUCACACGCUGUGGCAUAAAGGUAAUCUAUAUUAAUAUUUUAUUCUCAGCCCCAGAGUACCUCACUAAGCAGCCAUCAGGGAGAAGUAAGUUAGCCAGACAGGCUUCCCUUAGAUGAAUGGUCUCAUUUUGUGCUGGAUGUGAGAGGCAGAUAAACAACAGUCAUGAUAAAUGUGGAGCCAGUGUAAUGGAAAAUCUGGUGCCCAUGACAAUCAGUAUGAUCUCUGAGGCAGAAAAUGAACAAAGUGACUGGUCUGCACACAGAGUAAAUCACACCGCUGCUCCUUUACAUUACAAUGUGCUACUGUGAGUUAAUGUUGUUUAUUAGCUUGCUACCAUAACCGUGAGUUUCACUGGCAGUUUGCCAUAUUAACGUGUCCUCUGGAUUUUAGCGAUUAUAUAACAAAGAGAAGAAGAGCAUUACUCAUCUAUUUUACGUUCUGUUUUUUGGAAGUUGUUAUGAUGUUUUGUUUGUAGUGGCAAAGAGAGGAGAGUGAGGAAGCCCACUACAUAUUCAUGCUGGGGUUGGUGAAGUUUUAAGUGCAAAAUAAUCAAGGUUUUUUGUGGAAAUAUACCUGUAUAAGGAAAGAUUCACGCUCCUCUGUCACAAAUACUGAAAAUCUAAAAAAAUGAACUGUUCUAUACUUCUUUCUCGCCUUCUCUGUUGAGCCCUCCAACAUAAAGAUGUUUGUGUCAUAAAUCUACUGCAUGGCUUGUACAGGAGAGCUUGUAAUAAUACAAUACAUACACAAAGUAUGGCACUUUUAUUUUACCAUUAAAAAUCAGGCGUCAUCUGACCCUAAAAUAGAUAGUUAUCAGCUUGGUGUAGCUUCAUUGUGAAUUUUAUUUCGUUGUGUAUUUGUCCAGCCUCUAAGGCUUUACUGUUUUGGUUUGCUCUUAUGGUAUUGUGUUUGGCCACAGCUACAGUGCAGAAAACAGCAAGAGGCAAUCGUUAAAGACAGUAUAUAUAUAUAUAUGUAUAUAUAUAUAUAUAUAUUGUUGCUAAAGAGCAACCGUUUUCAAGUGAAAGAUAGAAAUGGUAGGGGCCAGAAACAAAGCUGCUUUAAAAAUGGGUACAUAAUCCCUGGUAUGAAUAAAUAUAGACUCUAAAUGAAUACUUAAAACUCUGACAUGAUGUCCUGGUUGUUUAUUUUUUAAGCAGUUCCGUAGAGAUCAUUUACACUUAAAAAAAACAAACUUUUAAUCCUUUUUAAUGAUUCUGCGACUGUAUUAAAAGGAAAUUUCUUAGCCAUCUUAGCAAUUUGGUCAUGCUAGUAGCCUGGUGUUUGCUAACAUUGGCUAGAAAUACUUCUUGGUUUUAGGUGUCAAAACUGACCUUGAGACAAGAUGCCUACAUAAACAGAAUACCCAAUAAUGUGGCGAAUUGGGCUAAUUGUUACCUGAAUAGCCAACUGAGAUGAAUGACUGUUUACCUAAUGUAGCAGUUAGCUGGCUAAUCUUAGCUUGCUUCUCUGCUAGCAAGUGAGUUUUUAUUUGGUUGGAGACUGUGGCCAUUUCUCAAAAUGCGUACUUGUGUGUACUUGCAUUCUCGUGGACUUGUGAUACGUCAUCAGUCGCAGACCAAGUACUGUUCCAAUUCAAAGUACGCAUCAAACCAAGUACGCUCAAAAUUCCCAGAUGUGUUCUCGCUCCACCCAUUUUAUCGAGCAUGCAUUGGUGGUGACUUGUGUAGCCAAAUAUCCUAGAAUUGCAUUUCGUCCAAAAAUGCGGCAAUGGCAGAGGAAAGUGGCCAAAUAGUUUAAAAUAUUACUCUUUCUGGGUCACAAAAUAAACUUUUAAGAUAUUUAUCAGGCGAGAAUGUAACUGUAUAAACUUUGGCUGAGAUUAAAGUUAAGCUUCAUAACUGGAUCGUUUUAUUUAAUAUUGAAGUCUUACUUGGAGAGCUGUCAGCAUAUUUUGAAUUUCACCCGUCAUAUCCCCUUAUGUAAAAUGUUCUGUUCUUAAUUAAACAGCUGACUCUGAAUUAAAUUUAACAUUAAAAAUAUUUAAAUUCAGGAGGAAGCAAUUUCACCGGGAGCAAAAACAGCAUGUGUUACGUGGAGAUCCUGAAGGCUGCUCCAAAAAUCUAAUUUUAUUUUAAAUAUUUGCUCAAUUCUCUUCCAAACCCCAGCUGUCUACUGUUAGUUUUGAGUGUCUACUAAAAAAAAAUUAAACGCGUUCUAACAUGUCACCUGUUUAUUUUUAUUCAGGCAUACAUGUAUACUGUUUUUAUUAAUAGAGAGAUUAAGCGUGUGUUUCAGUCGUAGUGAUUGUGCUUAACUGUAUGAAGCUUAUUCGACAUUAUGAUACGUAAAAGCAAAUUUUGGCAAGUUGCAAAUGUUAAUCACAGUUCAAUUAAGAGAUGAUGACAGUAAAAACUCCGGGGCGGUGAUGUCAUCAAGUACACUGCCGUGCCAAUUGUAGAGUGAUCGUGCCGCAUUCUCGGGAAGUCCAGACUUCUGUGUUAACUUACAAAGUACAGACUAGCAAGGAAACGAGUACAGACUGGCACACAGUUGAGUUUUGAGAAAUGAUUAACAGGCCACAUUUAUAUGCUGAUGCUAGCUAAUAUUGGUCAGAGAUUCUCCAACUAGAUAUCAAACACCUUCACGUGAUUGCUUUACUUGGUAGUAGAUACGGCCAAAGUGGACGGUAGUUUCCCAGGAACACACUGACUUGUCUACAAACACUUGAGAGCCACUCUGAGCAUUAAUGAAGCUGUGGAAACAAUGACAGAGACAGGAAAUCGAGACUGUAUGCAAAAGUUGUGCAUUUUUAAAUGUGUUGGUUGCAGCACAUUUUCCAUUAUUGCCUCUAGUUAAUAAACAUUUGCAGGCAAAUCAAGUCACCAUUUUUCUUGCAAGCUACAAGUAACCGCGACAAUCUGCUAGUCCAUGUUGUACUUUUUGGUUAUGCUAAAUUUAAGAAAGGAGAAUUAUCCAAGGUAUGCUAAACUGGCCAUCUAUUGUACUGUGGAUGCUCUUACAUACAACCAUCUUUUAACUUACAUUUCAACCCAUUAAAACAGUGAUUCCCAAAGUGUGAGCUGGGACCCUCUUCAGCCAUGAAGGUCCUGCAGGUGGGCUGUAGUUUACUUUAAAAGAAUUUACUAAAUAAAUUAACUUUAAAAAGUAAAUUAAAGAUUUUGGUUGGUUGUAAUAUUACUCAUUACUCUGACCUAAGUUUAUUUUGUGUCUUAUGGUUGUGUAGCAUUAGCAGUUUAUAACCAACUACCUGUGUUGCUUAUGUUUUUUGAAUAACAAUUUCAAGGACAUACAUCACUUUCUCUUGCAUUUUGAGUAGAAUGAAGAUUUAAGAUGAUGUUGGCUUCAUGGGAUCUUCUCUUUUUUAAGUGAGCCGCAGCACUCCUGACUCUGGGAAUGUCUUCAUUAAAACACUGGCACUAGAGAAGCAUUGAAUAUAUGAAAAACACUGUGAAAGAUAAACCACUUCCCGAACAGCAGUGUGUGAGACCCAUGUUUACAGGCUUCUGCAGAUCUGAUAGCAAAUCAGUUUGAUAGGUACUACACAGAGUAUGCUGUGAAUAAAUCUUCCUUGGCUUUGAAUCUACCCCAGACUUUAAUCCUGAAGCAUCGCUCACCAGCUGGAGAGCAGCCUGCCUGGAUGCCCAUGCAGUUUGCAGCAGCGGUUGACAUGGCACAGAGGGUAUCUUGCAGUGCCAGGAGGGAGGACUCACAGAUGGUGAACAUUACAUAAUUGCAGCUCAGAGAGUAAUUGAAGACGCUGUGGACCAUGGAGUCUGUAUUCAGGCUGAGUGCUGGGUGUGUUUAUCUCUCACACUACAUAUUGUCAAGUUUACAAAGUUAAUUUGUUAGAUUUGAGCUAUACAGAAGAAAAGCUUUCUCUUUGUUUUCAGUGAUAGUCUUCCUUUCUCUCCUCCCUGAAGCAUCCAUGGGUCACCUUCCUCAUCGGCACAUACAUUUACUCACGCCUGACCUUUUUCCUGCCAUGCACAUGAUCCAGAUAAAACUCUAACCUUGCUUGCUUCCACAUUUAGUUUCCUUCCCGCAGCACUUUAGCAGCUCUGUUUCAGUUGGGUCAUAACUCACCACCUUUCUGUCUCCCCUCGUUUCUUA